AACGUAGGAGACGAACGUUAUCCGGAGUUACUGGGCGUAAAGGGCGUGUAGGCGGUAUGUUAAGUCUGGCGUGAAAGCUCUCGGCUAAACCGGGAGAGGUCGUUGGAUACUGGCACACUAGAGGAUGGUAGAGGCGUGUGGAAUUCCGGGUGUAGUGGUGAAAUGCGUAGAGAUCCGGAGGAACACCAGUGGCGAAGGCGACACGCUGGGCCAUACCUGACGCUAAAGCGCGACAGCAUGGGGAGCAAACGGG
rnacentral:rRNA from 1 species